GAUGAAGAACGCAGCGAAAUGCGAUACUUGGCGUGAAUUGCAGAAUCCCGUGAACCAUCGAGUCUUUGAACGCAAGUUGCGCCCGAAGCCACUAGGCCGAGGGCACGCCUGCCUGGGCGUCACACGCCGUUGCCCCCCCAUCUACUCCUUCGGGAUUGCGGGGGGGCGGAUGAUGGCCUCCCGUGCGCCUAGCCGCGCGGUUGGCAUAAAUACCAAGUCCUCGGCGACGCACGCCACGACAAUCGGUGGUUGCGAAACCUCGGUUGCCCGUCGUGUGCGUUCGUCGCGCAUCGAGGGCUCGAAAAAAUGCUCGGCUCCGGCUGGGCUUUCAACGCGACCCCAGGUCAGGCGGGGUUACCCGCUGAAUUUAAGCAUAUCAAUAAGCGGAGGA
rnacentral:misc_RNA from 1 species